rnacentral:lncRNA from 1 species
GGGUGUUCCUUUUGUUUCUAAUUUCUCAGAUGUGUCUGUGUUGAGCCUCCAGCGGUUCUUCAGUUGAAUUCAGAUUUCCCUGCCUUGGUGCUGGUUCCUGCAGAGACUCCUGCUCCCAAGUAUUUGCUCUGAAUUUCAACUGACUCGGACUCCUCUGACUCCUCAGAAAUGAGUAGAUUGAAUCUUAAAGGGUAUUUCUAGUCCUGAAUGCUGGGUAUGUGGUUAUUCAC